AUCUUUCUGCACGGACAGGAUCUAUGGUCUCUGAGGUUUAUACCGAGACGUAGACUUUUGCUUAUCGCAAACUAAACGAACCACAACGUCUGAUUCGUACUUUACGAUUCGGCAAUUUUUCUCUUUGCGAUGUUCUGCA
rnacentral:snRNA from 1 species